CCUGAGAUGCCAUCGUCCAGAAGGACCACCACCCUGCAAAAUAUCCAAGGCAAGAAAAUGUAAGGGAAAAAUAGAUGGGUUGUUUGACAUUGCUCGACGUGGCUACAAAGCAUCAGAUUUGUUGACAGAUCUCAAGGAUAAAACCAUACCAGAGCAGUACAGGGAGAAAUUGUGCUUAGUUUGGUUUGCCCAUUCGGUUAUAUUGGCAAGAGACGUCAACAAGGUCAUAGAAGAUGAUUUGUU
rnacentral:lncRNA from 1 species